AUUGAACGCUGGCGGCAGGCCUAACACAUGCAAGUCGAGCGCGCGGCGGACGGGUGUGAUAUGUAUGGGGACGGCCAGAUAGAGGGGGAAAAAUAGUGGAAACGGUGGCAAACACCGCAAAAUAUCGGAAAACACAUAUGUGUCUAGCUAGUAGGUGGGGUAAUGGCUCCCCUAGGCGACGAUCUCUAGCUGGUCUGAGAGGAUGAUCAGCCACCCUGGGACUGAGACACGGCCCAGACUCCUACGGAGGCAGCAGUGGGGAAUAUUGCACAAUGGGCGCAAGCCUGAUGCAGCCAUGCCGCGUGUAUGAAGAAGGCCUUAGGGUUGUAAAGUACUUUCAGCGGGGAGGCGUGACCGGCAGAAGAAGCACCGGCUAACUCCGUGCCAGCAGCCGCGGUAAUUC
rnacentral:rRNA from 1 species